rnacentral:rRNA from 1 species
GACGAACGCUGGCGGCGUGCUUAACACAUGCAAGUCGAACGGAAAGGCCCUGCUUUUGUGGGGUGCUCGAGUGGCGAACGGGUGAGUAACACGUGAGUAACCUGCCCUUGACUUUGGGAUAACUUCAGGAAACUGGGGCUAAUACCGGAUAGGAGCUCCUGCUGCAUGGUGGGGGUUGAAAAGUUUCGGCGGUUGGGGAUGGACUCGCGGCUUAUCAGCUUGUUGGUGGGGUAGUGGCUUACCAAGGCUUUGACGGGUAGCCGGCCUGAGAGGGUGACCGGCCACAUUGGGACUGAGAUACGGCCCAGACUCCUACGGGAGGCAGCAGUGGGGAAUAUUGCACAAUGGGCGGAAGCCUGAUGCAGCAACGCCGCGUGCGGGAUGACGGCCUUCGGGUUGUAAACCGCUUUCGCCUGUGACGAAGCGUGAGUGACGGUAAUGGGUAAAGAAGCACCGGCUAACUACGUGCCAGCAGCCGCGGUGAUACGUAGGGUGCGAGCGUUGUCCGGAUUUAUUGGGCGUAAAGGGCUCGUAGGUGGUUGAUCGCGUCGGAAGUGUAAUCUUGGGGCUUAACCCUGAGCGUGCUUUCGAUACGGGUUGACUUGAGGAAGGUAGGGGAGAAUGGAAUUCCUGGUGGAGCGGUGGAAUGCGCAGAUAUCAGGAGGAACACCAGUGGCGAAGGCGGUUCUCUGGGCCUUUCCUGACGCUGAGGAGCGAAAGCGUGGGGAGCGAACAGGCUUAGAUACCCUGGUAGUCCACGCUGUAAACGGUGGGUACUAGGUGUGGGGUCCAUUCCACGGGUUCCGUGCCGUAGCUAACGCUUUAAGUACCCCGCCUGGGGAGUACGGCCGCAAGGCUAAAACUCAAAGGAAUUGACGGGGCCCCGCACAAGCGGCGGAGCAUGCGGAUUAAUUCGAUGCAACGCGUAGAACCUUACCUGGGUUUGACAUGGAUCGGGAGUGCUCAGAGAUGGGUGUGCCUCUUUUGGGGUCGGUUCACAGGUGGUGCAUGGCUGUCGUCAGCUCGCGUCGUGAGAUGUUGGGUUAAGUCCCGCAACGAGCGCAACCCUUGUUCACUGUUGCCAGCACGUUAUGGUGGGGACUCAGUGGAGACCGCCGGGGUCAACUCGGAGGAAGGUGGGGAUGACGUCAAGUCAUCAUGCCCCUUAUGUCCAGGGCUUCACGCAUGCUACAAUGGCUGGUACAGUGAGUGGCGAGCCUGUGAGGGUGAGCGAAUCUCGGAAAGCCGGUCUCAGUUCGGAUUGGGGUCUGCAACUCGACCUCAUGAAGUCGGAGUCGCUAGUAAUCGCAGAUCAGCAACGCUGCGGUGAAUAAGUUCCCGGG